rnacentral:rRNA from 1 species
CGCGUAGGCGGUUCGUACAGUCAGACGUGAAAUUCCCGGGCUCAACCUGGGGGCUGCGUUUGAUACGUACGGGCUUGAGUUCGGAAGAGGGUCGUGGAAUUCCCAGUGUAGAGGUGAAAUUCGUAGAUAUUGGGAAGAACACCGGUGGCGAAGGCGGCGACCUGGUCCGAUACUGACGCUGAGGCGCGAAAGCGUGGGGAGCAAACAGGAUUAGAUACCCUGGUAGUCCACGCCGUAAACGAUGUGUGCUGGAUGUUGGGCGGUCUGACCGCUCAGUGUCGUAGCUAACGCGAUAAGCACACCGCCUGGGGAGUACGGCCGCAAGGUUGAA